ensembl:lncRNA
CGCAGCUGGAGGUAUCGCUGAGGGCACAGCGGGGUGGUUAGGAAUAUUACCCCUGAAUUGUAUUGCGUGAUUAACUCAGUGGAGAGUCAUUAAGUGCAUGAGUGAGAGAGAGGAGUCAUGUCCUCUCUGCAGAGCUCCUGCUCUCUCACCACGAGGUGAGGCCUUCUUCCCCCUUGCCCACACCCAGACCCUGCGAGCUGGCUGCUGGAAGAAGCCAUCAGGUCUGGGAAGGUGACCAACCGUGGCACAUGUCCAAAUGAGUCACAGAAUCCCAGAAUUGUUUGAGUUGGAAGGGAUGUUUAAAGGUCAUCUAGUCCAGCUCCCCUGCAAUGAACAGAGGCACCCACAGCUGAGCACAUCAGGGGCUCAGAGCCCCAUCCAACCCCAUCCCCUGGCUGAAGGGAACAUGUCCGGACAAGCCCCGUGCUUUGCUUCUGACUGGAGAAUAUCAGCUGUUCCCUCUGCGCCCAGCUUCACAGCUGACUUUGCAUUGCCCUGAUCAUCACUAGGGUCUCCUCACCUCCUCUAUUGCUCUCAAAGUCUAUUGGGGUCUUUGGACUGAGCUCUUAGUUUAAGACUGAGCUUUGGACUUAGCUGCUGUCAUGGGAAGCUGCAUUUUUUUUCUUCUUUAUGUAUGUUUUCCUGAACAGGAAGGUAAAAAUAAAUGGAGAGAAAAAACAAGUAUUGAUGGAACAGCUAGGAGGGAGAAGAGAGCUUUUUGUCUCACUGAGAAAUCUGACCUUUCAGAGGUAGCUUCAAGAAACCUCAAGGAAACGUGCUUUGCUGGCAUUUGCUGCAGGUGAUUCACUGGGAGUUUUCAUCCCCUCUUUCAGAAGAUAAUGUUUAGACUUUUAUUAACUUGCAAGCUCUGGGUGCCUUGGAGACCUGAGGAGCACAGAAACUCCCAGUUGGUGAGAUCAGGCUGUGCCUUUGCACAGAAAUCCUGGUUCUCAGGCUUUUCUGAAGCCUAUUCAGCAAACCCACCUUCCCUCAUGCGUGGAUACCAAGGCUGCAAUGCCAAUUAUCUUUGCAUGCCCCGAGGCUCCUUUGACCUCUCCUUAGCCAGAUGGAUGUGGGAAUCACACAGCAAAGGCAGCAUCAGGACACAUGCUGGGGGAGGCAUGAAGUCAUCCAGACAUGGCCUCCAUCUCCUGCAGCGCAGGGAGAAGGAAUUCCUUUGGUGAGCCCCGAAACAUGGCCCCAGGGACAGGAGGUAGCACAGGACUCAGCCGUGCUGAAUACCUGGUGCCCGGGGAACCUGAGCUUCAAAGCAACCAGACGGGAAGAAAAAUGGAGGCAGCCAAACCAUGGCAUGAAUCGCAGAGAGAGUUCAGACUGAUAAAUAUUUCAGACUGACAGCUAUUCCUGUCCUUGGAAGUUCAUUCAUCAGAAUCUUAGCAAGGCCUCCACUACCCAGGACCAUAAAUACUGAGGCCUAUUUUAAUGACAGCUUUUGGCGUGGCUAAUACCAAAAGUAUGGCAGCCUGUUACAGUUCAACCUCCAUCCUCGGCUGCUUCAGCGUAAUUUAUUGCACCUGUAAAGGCUAUAUUCAAAUACACGCCUGUUGUAAUUACAGCCCCUGGCUGUGUGGGAUCCACCUGUGAGUUGAUUGUACCUUGUUUUGAUAAGAUGCUAGACAAUGACAACAAUAUAGAAACAAUAGCAGCCAUUAGUAUCUCAGCGAUACACACAGUCCCCAUGUCACACAAAAGGAGAGUUUUACUGUCUAUACGUGGGGGGAAAUUUUGACCCAAGUCAGGAAAACUGCUGUCAGGAGGGUAGGAAAAUGGGAAACCUGCAGCUCUGCUUCUCUCCCCUCUUCUGCACCGAUGCUCUGCCGUCCCAGCAUCACAGCUGGCAGGCAGCUCCUAUUUCUCUCCAAGCCUCAGAUCCUUGUAGAACUUCACGGUUGGCUUCUGGAGAAUAUUUGAUAGUCUUCUUAAAUUAGCCCUAAAUGGUUGGGUUGACCCGAAUACUUCAGUAGGAAGGAACUGGAGCCCUCCCCCGAAACACCUCCCUCCCUGUCAGUGAUGGCCUAUAAUGACACAGGAGAAAUUUGCUCUGCUCCUUUCUGUGCCGUGAACAAAUUCAGCCUUUGAACUCUUAGCACCAGCCCCAGUGCUAAGCAGCCUCUGCUCCCACCUCCAUGCACCAUCUUGGUCUCGAGCUCUCCAAGCACAGCCCUCUCCUACUGGGCGCUCCCCAGCACGUUUCAUUCAUGAAUUAAGUCCCUGACAGCCCAUAUCUCUAUGAUCAAUAUGUUUGUUUAUUAGCAGCAGCUGCUGUGUUUUAGCAAAACGGGAGGGCUCCAGCAGGAGCAGCGCGCUCUAACCGCAGAGCAGGCUUGGGAUGGGGAGAAGGACCUCCUGCUGGCAAAUGGGAGCUGGGUGGGAUAAGAUUUCACGCUAAUGACCCUUUAAUUGAAAUCACUGCUCAGGACAGAUUGCUCAUCUUGGGGAUAUCUGUGCUGAUGGCUCCCGGUUUGGCCGCUCCUGAGACCAAUCCAUUAACUCAGUAGCGAUGAACAAAAGCUAAGAGGGAGAGCAAGAGUCUGUCCAUCACUAGCACAGCUGAUCUGCACCCCAAGGCAGCCCCAGCCAGCAGCUGGUGUAAAUGGAGCCCUGCACAAAGGGUAUGGCAAGGGCUGUGGCAGCCCAGUGACUACCACUGGCACCUGGGCUUCUUAGAAUUAGGCAGCUCUGCUGGGCCUGUUUGCGGAGAUGCUGAUGUGUGUCUCUUGCAAUGCAAAGAGAAGCCUGAGUGCACAGAAAGGAAGGUUACGAACCUGCUUUGAAUGCAUUUAUUAUUCCCAUUAAUUACAAUGCCUGCUAAAGAGGACCAGCUGUUCUAGGAGGCUGUGGUACCAAUUUAUCAGGAGAAGAUUCCAACAGAAGUUGCAGAGUUUUCCUCUGAACUUGGGAGGAUGGAAGAUGGAGGUUUUUUAAUUAGAACUUGUUAUUAAUGGGAACGUAGCAAAUUAAAAAUAGUCUCCCUCCCCUCUCCCUAUUACAUGAAGCUCUGAUCUCAAUUAGAAAGAUCAGAGACUAACCAUUGAAUGGGAAUUACUGAGAUGAAAACUGAUUGAAAGACAAAAACCAAAGACAGAGGCAUCGUGGGGAGAGAACAGAGAUAGAAAACAAUGAGCAGAGGCUGUCAGAGGCUGUGUGCCACAGUCAGGUGGCAGAGGCUCAGCCAGGCAGGGUGGCUUUCUGCCUUAGCCCAUAGUGAGAACACCUGGUCUCACCUGGCGCUGUGUUGGAUGGUUCUUUCAGGGCUGGGGUCAGGUUAGGAAAGGUGCAGUGGGGUCUGAGCAGACCUAUCUCCUGUGUGACAAUCUUGGCUAAUGACUUCCCAAUGAGAACCUCAUCUGCUGCCCUUCGGUCACCUGCAGACCAAGUCCCUGUCUUCCUUGCAACAGAUAAUCCAUGGCAUAUUCCAGGGCAGGCAGGGACCUUAGGCUGAAAUUACAGCCUUGCUUACUAAUUGCUGCAUGUUCUCUCUCCGUAGGUAUAUCAUUGCCAGCAAUUAGCACAAAAUCCUUUCCCACUCUUGUUAAGUUCCUGUGCUGCAGUUAAAUACUCCCAGAUCCCAUUUAAAUGAUUUCAAAUGCAAUUCAUUCUGGCUCGUUAAAUAAUUCCACAGCAGUGUUUGUCGUCUUCUCUCUCUGUUUUCCAACAGCCACUUUCUCCCAGAAAGAAUAUGAUGACUAAAGAAUGGGAAGGGGAAGUGAGAUGUAAACUGAGAAAUUUGAGGUCCAUCCUCUCUGCCUAUAUUUUUACUUCUUUCUUCCUCCUCUUCUCCAGCUGUGACUUCUCCCAGUAGAUGGGCCUUAUGGGGGUCCAUAUGACACAAUUUCUGUUGGUUUCACCAACUCAGUGAGGUGGUGGCUUCAAUGUGCGCUCCCUGAGGCAUGGGGUCCACCAUCUGUUUGCAAGGAAUCAUCAAAAAAGUUGCAAAGAAAAGCAAUUUCCUUUCUGCCACUCAGCAGUCUACGACAGUGUUCCCAUUGGAAGAUUUGUAGUGGUCCUUGGGUUGAUGAAGCUGAAAGCCACUGUGCUGUAUGUAUUAAUGCAGAAGGGGCGAGAACAAGCGAGCAUCAUCAACAGAAGGGCAGCUCCUGCAGGGAGGGAAGAUGUGCAUGUGGGCAGAGGCAUUCACAGGCUGCAGCCUGGCUGUGUGCUUCAUCAGGCUUGCUUGAGUGUUUCAGAAUGGCACGGAUGAACUCCAGCCACUUCGUUGCCAGGGUGGAGCGUGUGGCAUGGAGUGUGAUCCUCCUGGAAGGCUUUGAUGAAAAAUGUGAGCUCAGUUGGAAGGGAAGGAGAUGAAAGCAAAUUUCACAAAUGUCACAAGAGUUUUCACAGCAAAGUUAGCUGCUGGAAAUUAACUGCCAUCGCCACAAACCGCAGGCUGGGAUCCUAUUCCCAGGCAUUGGAAGGAUGGUCCUGAAAAACACCUCUAAAAUAAGUGGGGCAAUGGAAAGGAAAUCUCUGCCUGAAAAAUGUGUGCCCCCAUCUGUUAAACAAUAUUCAGGUGCUUCUGCAUUUACGCUUCCUCCAUACUUAAGCAGCGAUGGCUUUCAAAGGCAGAUUGCCUAUGUGAAGAACAGAUGGAGGGAGCAAUCCUCCCAUCCAAGCUCUGCACCAGAACUGAAGAAGUUUGUAAUCUGCUUCUUGUUCACAGAGCCAAGGCUUCAAACACAGCCCCUCUGCUCCAACAUGCUGGGUAGCUCAGGAGCCCGCAUACUCUUGGUUUUCCUCGUCCUUCUCUGCAGGCUUUUCUGCUGAGCGCUAUUUUGUGAAGGCAGCAAUGGUGUCCAGAAUGUGUUCUGCAAGGGCAAAGGUAAAAGGGCACCCAAGCCCAAAUUUCCUGCUUCCCCAUAGUGAGAGGAGAGAACUUUGUCCAUGAGCUGGUGAGUGAAGCCUCGUGGCUGCCUGCACGCUGCCCCAGCUUUUCAUCAGCACCAAAUUUGCAGCAAAAUAGGAAAAGUCAUUUCAUGAAAGCAAAAUAAUACCCGGUCGUACCAACAUCUCAGCUCUCAAUCUCUGUUUUCUAUAUCUCUGUUGAUGUUCAAAGGAAAACAAUGUGAUUGUUAAUUACAAACUGCUUUGAAUGCAUGCAAGGAAGCAGUUCAGCGCAGAGCCAGUCGGAAGCAGGAAAGCUGAGGAUACAGCAUGUGCCGAACUGCUUUAAAGGGCAGCAAGUUCCAUUGUAAUGAAUGCUGAUGCAAUCAUUGUACCAGACACAAAGUGGAAGUGUUACCUUGUGCAGCUCCCCACUGUUCUCUAUCUAUGGGGUUUUGCUUUGGACUGGAUGGAAAAGACUGAAAUACCAGGGGAGUGCUUUGCAUUUCAAAGAAGUUAAUGCGUAAGUGAUGUUGUGAUUCAUUAGCUCUCUACCAGUGCAUUGGUGUCCCAGGGUCGACAGGUACACUGGCAGCCCAAUGGUCUUCACAGUCCAGCCCACCAUGGGGAAAGCAAUCAGCAACCUGAUGAUAUAGGCAAUGGAAGAGGGUCUGGAUACAAUAAAAAGGUAACAUACAUAUAAGCAAGAAGCACACACAGUGUCCCUGUGUGUACUGGGCAAGUCAAGAACAGGCUUAAAUGCAGAUGCAUGGACACGUGUGACAUGAGAACACAGAGCAGAUCCUGGCAGCAGCUCAUGGUGCAAGGAUGCUCCCUGGGCAUCCCUCCCAUCCAUUCUCAUGGCACAGUCCUGACUUACAUGCGGUUGGAGGCUACAGCAGAACCAGCAGCUGAUGAAUACAAGGAGAAGGCUUUGCACUCCCACCAGCCCUGGAAAUAGGGCAGCUGCUGUUUUGUUGCUGGCUGGACUGAGGCUUAUUUGCAAGGAAGGAGAUGGUGUUCUGUGGUUGAUCUCUCCUCCAGUCUGCUGCCAACACAAUCUGCAGAACUUCAAAGCUGCAAAUAGGGAAGUGGCUGUUAAACAGCACUCAUCUCAGGGCUGAGCUUCGUGUUUCUCAACCAGGAGUGUGCAGUGGUCCUGAGCCAGGCAGAGAAUGGCUCUGGGGACAUCCCCAGGGAACACCUCUAGGGAGGCCUCUCCCCAGCCCCCAGAUGCAUCUCACUGCCUCGUGGGCAGCCCAUCUCCUCCAGCCUCACUCUCCCCGCCAGGCUCCAUCUACUGAAAAAAGGAUGCUCAGAAAGUUCACAGCUCCAUCCCAGGGGAAGCAUUUCAGCAGCUCUGCUUCCUGUGCACCCACACCGUUUCCCCCUCUCUGGGUCCUUCUAGUUGGAUUUUCCCACAUGCCCAGCCCGAGAACACUGCCUGAGCCCACUGCCAUCAUUUCAGCCCCUACCACAUGCAGAGGGAUGGUCGUUGGCUCCGCACUGUGGCUGCGCUCCUCCUCCUCCUCUUCUGCUUGCAGCCUUCUUCCUACAGAACAGUGACUAAUGCUGCUCCUCCACGCAGUGCAUCAUCCCGCGGGGGCGUGCGAGGGUGAGGAGCGAGCGCGGGUGGAGGAACUGGGGACGUGGAGAGGUGGCACUCGGCAGCAGGAUGUCAUCACCAGGGUCUUGUGCAUAUGAUUGACCUGGAGGAGCUGUGGGUGCACGGGGAGGGCUGCACUGAUGCGCUGCCCUGUUGGCAUCACACAAGAAGAAGUGACGGGGCAGCGAGAAAAGAGACCUUUUGCCAUCGUCCCCACUUGUCACAGUGCCAAAAGAAAGCUGCAGUGCUUUUAAACAAGCCGGCUUAACACGGCUCUGCUCUCCAGGCACAAGGGGGUGGUUUCUUUUACCGCCGCUUAAGAGCGGAGGAAGACGUGAGGGCUGACUGCAGGGCCGGCAUCCCUGUGGGGCCCGGCGCCCGCAUUGCCAACCACAGCCCUGUGAGCCUGGAGUAAUGGCCUAAAUGGGGGGAGAAAGCAGAGUGCAUUGCUAAUGGCAGUGGAGCAGGCAGCUGCCUGCUGCUCAGCCUCUCCUCCUCCUCCCUUCAUCAGAAUCCUGCACAAAGAGAACUGAAAGGGAUGGGGAUAAGGUGGGGUUAUGGAUAAGGAUGAGAAUGAGAACAAAGAUGGGGAUAUGAGUGGGGGUAUAGGUAGAGAUGGAGUUGGGAAUAGGAAUGGGGUUAUGGGUAGAAAUGAGGAUGAGGAAGAAGAUGGAGUUAUGGAUGGGAAUAAAACUAAGGAUAGAGAGGGAGGUAAGGUUAUGGAUGGGGAAGGGGAUGGGGUUAUGGAUGGUGACGGAGGUAGGAGUAGGAUGGGAAGGGUAAUAUGAAUGAGGAUGGAGAUGAGGAAGCCCCUCCUCUCACCUCACAUCCUUCCAGGGAGGGUUCUCCAAUGUGGUGCUUAGGGGCAAAUCCCUGCCCUCGCCCCAUCCAGCCAAGCCAGGAUGCAGUGGUAUGGAGGAAGCAGGAUUCAGCUUCUACAGCCAGCUCUGAGACCGGGAGAUGUCAGUUUCAACAUUCACAGCCUCGGUCCUCACUUUAAUCAGCAGCAUGUCACCUUCAAAGAGGACAGGGAUGGAUGCAGAGCAGAGAGAGCAGAGAUUCUUUGCCCAGAUCCUGCCCAGAUCUCACCAGAAACAUGCUAUGGGACAAUAAAGAUAGAUUUAAAUAUGCUGAAAGCGUUCAGGGCUCUGUUUGCAAAGUUUCAAGAUGCAGCAGUUAGCAAAUAUUGAAGCAGCAGGUGAGCAUCAGCCUUGACUUAGAAGAUUUCUCACAACUGAGAAUCCCAACCUCCAGCCCUACCACCAACCCAGUGACUGCAGGAGGCAUGACCCCACUGUGGUGGGGAGUUGUCUUACAAACCUUCUCCAUUAGCAGCAAGAGAGAAUCCCAGCAGCAGGUUUCAUAGGCGGUCCUGAGCAGUUCUGGGCACCUGUUUGUCUCAGCAGUACAGUUCACAAGGCACCUCCAGCCACAGAAACGGAUGAGAGAAGCAACCAAUCCUCAGUCCUUGGCAUAAAAGCUCUAUAAAGGAGGAACGGGAGCACCUUAACUCAAGUGGCA